rnacentral:rRNA from 1 species
GGCGGCGCGCCUAACACAUGCAAGUCGAACGAGAGAGAGGGAGCUUGCUUCCUCAAUCGAGUGGCGAACGGGUGAGUAACGCGUGAGGAACCUGCCUCAAAGAGGGGGACAACAGUUGGAAACGACUGCUAAUACCGCAUAAGCCCACGACCCGGCAUCGGGAAGAGGGAAAAGGAGCAAUCCGCUUUGAGAUGGCCUCGCGUCCGAUUAGCUAGUUGGUGAGGUAACGGCCCACCAAGGCGACGAUCGGCAGCCGGACUGAGAGGUUGAACGGCCACAUUGGGACUGAGACACGGCCCAGACUCCUACGGGAGGCAGCAGUGGGGAAUAUUGCACAAUGGGGGAAACCCUGAUGCAGCGACGCCGCGUGGAGGAAGAAGGUCUUCGGAUUGUAAACUCCUGUUGUUGAGGAAGAUAAUGACGGUACUCAACAAGGAAGUGACGGCUAACUACGUGCCAGCAGCCGCGGUAAAACGUAGGUCACAAGCGUUGUCCGGAAUUACUGGGUGUAAAGGGAGCGCAGGCGGGCGAUCAAGUUGGAAGUGAAAUCCAUGGGCUCAACCCAUGAACUGCUUUCAAAACUGGUCGUCUUGAGUAGUGCAGAGGUAGGCGGAAUUCUCGGUGUAGCGGUGGAAUGCGUAGAUAUCGGGAGGAACACCAGUGGCGAAGGCGGCCUACUGGGCACCAACUGACGCUGAGGCUCGAAAGUGUGGGUAGCAAACAGGAUUAGAUACCCUGGUAGUCCACACCGUAAACGAUGAUUAUUAGGUGUGGGGGAAUUGACCCUUUCAGUGCGGCAGUUAACACAAUAAGUAAUCCACCUGGGGAGUACGACCGCAAGGUUGAAACUCAAAAGGAAUUGACGGGGGCCCGCACAAGCAGUGGAGUAUGUGGUUUAAUUCGACGCAACGCGAAGAACCUUACCAAGUCUUGACAUCCCUUGACGAUGCUGGAAACAGUAUUUCUCUUCGGAGCAAGGAGACAGGUGGUGCAUGGUUGUCGUCAGCUCGUGUCGUGAGAUGUUGGGUUAAGUCCCGCAACGAGCGCAACCCUUAUGGUCAGUUACUACGCAAGAGGACUCUGGCCAGACUGCCGUUGACAAAACGGAGGAAGGUGGGGAGGACGUCAAAUCAUCAUGCCCUUUAUGACUUGGGCUACACACGUUCUACAAUGGCGUUAAACAAAGAGAAGCAAGACCGCGAGGUGGAGCAAAACUCAGAAACAACGUCCCAGUUCGGACUGCAGGCUGCAACUCGCCUGCACGAAGUCGGAAUUGCUAGUAAUCGUGGAUCAGCAUGCCACGGUGAAUACGUUCCCGGGCCUUGUACU